CGUACGUAGCUCGGUCGUGCCCGUCGCCGUCGCGCUCCCUCUCACCCCUCUUGCACAUUCGAUCGCGAUCGUGUCCACGUUUUCUCGCUAUCACGUUUUCGUCUCCGAUCGUCUGCCGAACAGCUCUCUGCCAAUCCUCGUCCCUAAACUGCAGGAUCGCUAGCCCCUGGGGGGAGGGUCGUCUCUCUUGAUUAGUGGCGUCUCCGUGAGCGUUCGGCGUCGGUUGUCCAGGUGGUUCCGACGAGUGUACACCGGGAGCACACCCGUAAGUCCACGAAAUAUAUGGGGCAAAACUGUGGUCCGCGUUGAAAUCUCCACUUAGAGCCCGACCGAGAUUUCGGUGCUCUCUUCGACGUGACACGUCACAUAUUUUUCUCUCGCCACAACUAUACUAAUCGCACUCGCCAACUGCACUCCACUCCUGCCGCCGAUCUAUAGUGUUGACAAGCGUACGCCGUGUUCCGCGUGACCUUUGAAUUUGUACCAGUCGGUGAUGUCGAUGAUGACACUUGAUUUUGAGAAGAAUUUAUUUCACCAUAACUCUAUUGUGAUUAAAAGAGCAAUAGAAAUGAGGAUUCUACACUAAAAUAAUGAAUGAUUGAGGAA